UACAAGCAUAACCGCAAUAUAUUUUCUUUUAUCGGAAAGAAGCCAGAGAUAAAAAGAAAUUAAAUAAACGAACGAGUAGUAAGAUUAAAAAUCCGAUAUCGGGUAGUACGUUGGCGCCAUAAAUUUGAAAAGUUUGAAGCAAUAUGGCGGCGUGCGCAUACAAGACGGCGUAACCAAUAGGAAUAAAGAGAGAAAGAAUACGGUGCCUGGGAGAAGACGCGCGCCGUUUUCUCGAUUAGGUCACGACACUCCCUCUAUAAUGAUGAGAACGAUGCGUGCGAAGGUAUCGAAAUUCACACGAAAACAAUAUUUUGAAGACGAUGAUCAACGACAUUUGACAAUAGAAGUAGAAGACAUCGCGCUUUAAGAAUAAAUAAAAAAGGAAGGAAAGGGUUAAAAAUUAAAAAGGUAUGUUUUUACAGGAUAAAUAAAAAAAAGUAUCUAAACAAGAAUAUCAUAUGGAAGAAUAAGCGUAAGAAAGUAGUGAUGCGUAGAGAUACUCACAGAGGGCAGGUGUAUCGCUUUAUGGGGAUCGGUUGAUCGUAUAGGGGCAGGGGGAGAAAGAGAGAGAGAGAGAGAGAAGGUAGACUAAAGAGGAAUAGUGGGAGGAAAGAGAGAGAGAGUAUCAUGAAGCGAAUGAGCAUGGUUAGAAAGAGAGAGAAAGAGAGGGAUAGAAUAUAACCUAUAUCCGUAGUGUGUCUCGGCCGGUGCGUUGUCGUCGUUACGUUCUCCGUGCCUCCUCCCCCGACGGGUGGCGGUCGGGUAGAGAUCGCUGCUGCCCUUAACGUCGGAUUUUAAUCUCGUUAAAGACAAUCAGAAAAGAACUAAGAAGUAGUAGAAGAAGAAGAAGGAGGAGUGUAUUAAGAAAAGGUGGUGACGAUAGAAAGAAGAAGAAGAAGAAGUAGAAGAAGGGAGUUGUGAGUGCGUGAAUGCGUUGAUGCGUCGCUGCCGUCGUCGUCGUCGUCGUCGUCGUCGUCGUCGGGAGGAGCAACGAUCGUCGUCGUCUUCGUCGUCGUCGUCGACGUUGCUGUUGUGGUGUUGUCUUCAUUCUCUUCGUUUAUUCUUCUUCCACGUUGAGUGAUAGAUAGAAUAGUUUAGGUUACCGUCAAGCGGGUGAGGUAUCCUCCUCGUUAGUGUUCGCGCUGAACGAGGAGAGGGAUUAAAAAGAAGAAGAAGUAAAAAAAAAAGAAGAGAGAGAUAAAAGAAGAAGAAGAAAAAGAGGAAGCAAAAGCGGUGCUGAAGAAGUGCCGCCGUGGUGUCCGUGCUGGUGGUGGUGGUCGUGGUGGCGGUGGUGGACGUGGUGCGACGAGUGUUGUUGGUGCCGGUGGUGCAAGAAGAAGAAGAAGAAGAAGAAGACGAAGAAGAAGAAAAAGAAAGAAAAGAAGAAGAGGAAAAGCUUUAUAAAAAGGUAGAAAAGGUGCUGGAAGUGGUGAUUGUUGUGUUGUUUGAGGAGCUCGUGGUGCAAACAAGAAAAAUUAGAAAUAGUAGUAAUAAUAAUAAUAUUAUUAAUAA